AAGGAUUUAUGACCAGACUUUUUCUAGGGGAAUCAUCCGGUGUUCUCACCGGUGCACUUCCCCUAGUUGAGGCCAGCAUCGGUUUCUGUCGAGGGAUAAAAGCUUUAGGAAUGUGGCACCCUCCGGGGUGUGUUAUAGCCUGUUGCAUAAUACCUUGACGGGGACCGAGGUUCGCGCAUUGCAAGGAUGCUGGCGUAAUGGUUAUUAAUCA
rnacentral:rRNA from 1 species